GUGUAUAUAUUAUAGAGUUUAUUAUAUUUGAUUUGCAAUCUUAAGAUUUUUAUACACU
rnacentral:tRNA from 1 species